rnacentral:rRNA from 1 species
AUUGAACGCUGGCGGCAUGCCUUACACAUGCAAGUCGAACGGCAGCGGGGACUUCGGUCCGCCGGCGAGUGGCGAACGGGUGAGUAAUGUAUCGGAACGUACCAUUCAGUGGGGGAUAACUAUCCGAAAGGAUAGCUAAUACCGCAUAUUCUGUGAGCAGGAAAGCAGGGGAUCACAAGACCUUGCGCUUAUUGAGCGGCCGAUAUCAGAUUAGCUAGUUGGUGAGGUACCGGCUCACCAGGGCUACGAUCUGUAGCGGGUCUGAGAGGAUGAUCCGCCACACUGGGACUGAGACACGGCCCAGACUCCUACGGGAGGCAGCAGUGGGGAAUUUUGGACAAUGGGCGCAAGCCUGAUCCAGCCAUGCCGCGUGAGUGAAGAAGGCCUUCGGGUUGUAAAGCUCUUUCGGCCGGGAAGAAAUCGCAUCAGCUAAUACCUGGUGUGGAUGACGGUACCGGAAUAAGAAGCACCGGCUAACUACGUGCCAGCAGCCGCCGCCG